AUAACUUUCUACCUGCACAAGGUGAACCUGCAGGACUUCCUUGGCUACCUGAACCUGAAGGCAGCUCUCUCUGGCACAUGCUCCCUUCCCCAUAGUCUGCACUGCACAUUCUGAAGGAAGCUCUUCACUGGGCCUUCUUCAGCACACAGGCCACAGGCCACAGGCUACGUGCUGCUCAGCACCUCCUGUUACAUGCAGCAGGUCCUGCAUGCCACAGAGGGAGGGUAGCCCUCCAAGGGCAAGGCCUCAUCCCUCAUCCAGACCUGCCUGAAGAUGCUGCAAUGAAGGCCCAAGUCCAUGGAGGCCUUUCUUGGCCAACGACCAGACUGACUGCCUAGUUUUUUCUGGAGCCUGGGCAGUCCAAGAUCAAGACUUCAGCAGAUUUGGUGUGUGGUGAAGCGCAGCUUCCUAGUUCAUAGACAGCUGUCUUUCUGCUGUGUCCUCACAUGGCCAAAGAGGCACUAGGCCCUCUAGCCACUGGGUGUUUAAUAAG
rnacentral:lncRNA from 1 species